rnacentral:rRNA from 1 species
UCACCCAAGCGGUGGAGCAUGUGGCUAAUUCGAAGCAACGCGAAGAACCUUAUCCCUAGGCUUGACAUGCACGGAUUAGUCCUCUGAAAGGAGGAGUACACCCGCAAGGGCGGAACGUGCACCAGGUGCUGCAUGGCUGUCGUNAGCUCGUGCUGUGAAGUGUCGGGUUAAGUCCCUCAACGAGCGAAACCCCUGUCGUUAGUUGCUAACGGGUAAUGCCGAGGACUCUAGCGAGACUGCCGGUGUCAAACCGGAGGAAGGUGGGGAUGACGUCAAGUCCUCAUGGCCUUUAUGCCUAGGGCUGCACACGUGCUACAAUGGUGCAUACAGAACGUCGCAAGACCGCAAGGUGGAGCAAAUCGCUCAAAGUGCACCCCAGUUAANNAUUGUGGGCUGAAACCCGCCCGCAUGAA